rnacentral:rRNA from 1 species
AGUGAACGCUGGCGGUAGGCCUAACACAUGCAAGUCGAACGGCAGCACAGUAAGAGCUUGCUCUUACGGGUGGCGAGUGGCGGACGGGUGAGGAAUACAUCGGAAUCUACUUUUUCGGGGGGGAUAACGUAGGGAAACUUACGCUAAUACCGCAUACGACGUACGGGUGAAAGCAGUGGAUCUUCGGACCUUGCGCGAAUGAAUGAGCCGAUGUCGGAUUAGCUGGUUGGCGGGGUAAAGGCCCACCAAGGCGACGAUCCGUAGCUGGUCUGAGAGGAUGAUAGGCCACACUGGAACUGAGACACGGUCAAGACUCCUACGGGAGGCAGCAGUGGGGAAUAUUGGACAAUGGGCGCGAGCCUGAUCCAGCCAUACCGCGUGGGUGAAGAAGGCCUUCGGGUUGUAAAGACCUUUUGUUGGGAAAGAAAAGCAGCAGGUUGAUACCCAGCUGUUCUGACGGUAACCAAAGAAUAAGCACCGGCUAACUUCGUG